rnacentral:rRNA from 1 species
CAGCAGCCACGGUAAUACGUAGGGUGCAAGCGUUAAUCGGAAUUACUGGGCGUAAAGCGUGCGCAGGCGGUUAUAUAAGUCAGAUGUGAAAUCCCCGGGCUCAACCUGGGAACUGCAUUUGAGACUGUAUGGCUAGAGUGUGUCAGAGGGGGGUAGAAUUCCACGUGUAGCAGUGAAAUGCGUAGAUAUGUGGAGGAAUACCGAUGGCGAAGGCAGCCCCCUGGGAUAACACUGACGCUCAUGCACGAAAGCGUGGGGAGCAAACAGGAUUAGAUACCCCCGUAGUCCCUGUCUCUUAUAC